rnacentral:rRNA from 1 species
GACGAACGCUGGCGGCGUGCCUAAUACAUGCAAGUCGAGCGGACUUUCAAGAAGCUUGCUUUUGAAAGUUAGCGGCGGACGGGUGAGUAACACGUGGGCAACCUGCCUGUAAGACGGGGAUAACUCCGGGAAACCGGGGCUAAUACCGGAUAAUAUCUUUCUUCGCAUGAAGGAAGGUUGAAAGGCGGCGCAAGCUGCCGCUUGCAGAUGGGCCCGGGGCGCAUUAGCUAGUUGGUGAGGUAACGGCUCACCAAGGCGACGAUGCGUAGCCGACCUGAGAGGGGGAUCGGGGACACGGGGCGUGAGACACGGGCCAGACUCCUACGGGAGGCAGCAGUAGGGAAUCUUCCGCAAUGGACGAAAUUCUGACGGAGCAACGCCGCGUGAGCGAAGAAGGUCUUCGGAUCGUAAAGCUCUGUUGACAGGGAAGAACAAGUACCGUUCGAAUAGGGCGGUACCUUGACGGUACCUGACCAGAAAGCCACGGCUAACUACGUGCCAGCCGCCGCCGUAA